GGGAAGUUUUUAAAUGAGCUCACACGCAAGUCAAGGCUUCGGUCGUCUGUAUAUAAGCAAAGGAUAGGAACAGAGUCAACAUUGUGAAGCUUUUCCAGUACCAAAGCAAAUAUGAAAUACAUCUUCGUUGUCUUGAUCACCUUCGCGCUCUUCUACAAUGCGAUAGCUCAAGACCCUUGCGAUCCCGGUAGUCAAGAACCCGGAUGCGAGUGCAGUCGAGGUGAACCCUUCUGGACCGAAACCGACGCCGGUUGCGAGUUUAGGUGCAAGGACGGAGAUAAUCUCCACGAAUGUGGGGAUACCACGGAGUAGGUGCUACGACCAAUUUUUCGAAGCGCGCCACUGGUAUAUACAGAUUUGAUGUGAAGUCUGUUCUGAAUAAAGGUUACCCUGCAUUGA